AUGAGUUUGGCUGUUCUUGCAAGGGCGCGAAAAAAGCAAUGUGCUAGGCUUGCUAACCUCAAGGAGGGGGAUGCGAAUACCAAGUUUUUUCAUCGUCGCGUCAAUGCGAGGCGUCGCAAGAACCACAUCCACCGGCUCAAACACAACCAAGGGUGGGUCACCGACCAUGACCACAAAGAAGCGAGGGACUAUGAUUUUAACUGGGAUGAGCUUGACUUGGGCUCUCAUGACCUCACGGCGUUGGGGGAGCCCAUCUCACUGGAGGAGGUCCAGGAGGCGAUCAAUCAAAUGCCAAGUGACAAAGCGCCCGGAUCUGAUGGGUUCACGGGGCUUUUCUUCAAGAAAUGUUGGGACACCAUCAAGGAUGACGUCAUGAAAGCCAUCUCUCUCUUCAGCAACCUCCGAACCGCAAAUCUGCAAUGGCUAAACUCCACUAAUGUUGUUCUUCUUCCGAAGAAGGAGGGAGCCGAGGGCAUCCUGGAUUACCGCCCCAUCAGCCUCAUCCAUGCGGUAGGCAAGAUCAUUGAGAAAGUUCUGGCCAUCCGGCUUGCUAGCCAUAUGCACUCCCUUGUCUCCCAUGCCCAGAGCGCCUUCAUCAAGACGAGGAGCAUCCACGACAACUUCAUGUAUGUCAGGAAUUUCGCGCGCCGGCUUCACAAGCGCAAGACGCCUGCGCUUCUCUUUAAGCUGGACAUUCGUAAGGCUUUUGACUCGGUGAGGUGGGAGUACCUGCUGGACCUCCUUCAGAAACGAGGAUUCCCUAGCAUCUUUCGGAAUUGGGUCGCCGCCCUGCUAUGCUCCUCCUCCUCGCGCAUCCUGCUGAAUGGGGUUGCUGGUGAGCCAAUCAUCCAUGGUUGUGGCCUUCGGCAAGGCGGCCCUCUGUCUCCGCUUCUCUUCGUCCUCGCGAUCGACCCUCUCCAGAAGCUGCUUGAGGUCGCCACUCGGAAAGGGCUAUUGCACAAAAUCUGUGGCCGAGGUGUGGCGCUGCGCAGCUCCCUCUACGCCGAUGAUGCUGUUGUCUUCUUGGCCCCAAUCAAAAGCGACGUCGACAACCUCUCCAACAUCUUGCGUCUAUUUGGGAAUGUCACUAGUCUGUGCACAAACUUCCUGAAGAGUUCGGUCGUCCCAAUCCGAUGCGGGAACAUCAACCUGCCGCACGUCACCCAAAGCUUACCUGCUGUGGCUGCUUCCUUCCCCAUCAAAUACCUGGGCCUGCCCUUAUCUGUUUGGCAACUCAAAACAGUGGACUUCCAGUUUCUCUUGGACAAGGCGACGGCAAAGCUAGGCGUCUGGGACGGCCAAAAUAUUACCGCCAUUGGGAGGUCGGCCUUGGUCAAGUCCGUGCUCUCCUCCUUAGCGGUCUACUUCAUCACCCCACUCAUUGUGCCGACGGGCACUCUACGGCAGCUCACAAAGCUUCAGAGGGCCUUCCUUUGGGCAGGAUCGGAUAAGACAACCGGUGCAAAAUGCAAGGUGAACUGGGAUAUCGUGUGUAGGCCUUCCGAGUUUGGGGGCCUUGGCGUACUCAACACGGAAAAUUUUGCGAGGGCACUAAGGCUGCGUUGGCUUUGGUUUGAGUGGAAGGAGCCGUCCAAGAUGUGGGUCGGUUUGGGGAACCCGUGCAACGACAAGGACUAUGAUCUUUUUUACGCCUUCUCCACCAUCACUGUUGGCAAUGGUGCCCGCACACCUUUUUGGGAUGCUCCUUGGGUGCAUGGGAGAAAGCCCAAAGACAUUGCUCCGCUCAUUUAUGGUGCCGCCACAAGGAAGAAUUGA
rnacentral:rRNA from 1 species